ensembl:ncRNA lncRNA:CR44446 long non-coding RNA:CR44446
AAUAGAUGGUAGAUUACUAGAUUACUAAUACUUGAUAGUAAAUAUAAUAUAAAUGUAUAGUAAAUAUGUAAUAUAGCAGUAGAUAGAACACAGAUAAUUUCAUAAUUCCAGAUUGGUGUAGCACUCAUUUAUUUCUGAUCAAAACUCGUUCUGUUAAGAGCUACACAGACUCAAAUACUCUAGCUGACUCAGAUGUGGUGGCACUCCACUCAAGGAACAACUCAAUGCCGAACUCAACUCACAUCCUUGCUAAGGAUACAGGGCGUGAAAUGUCUCAGCCUCGGAAUUCCGGCGAACACAGCGGCAGAGCAAAGUUCUCUAACCAUUUUCAUGGUUGCCAGCAAAUUAUCUAUUCGGGGUUUUCUGGACUCGAGGUUUAGGGCGAAAACCGAGCAUCGCUGACCACAGCAAGUGUCGCCGUUGGCCAAAGGACACUCCCCGGAAGAGAAAGAGAAGCAAAAGGACGAUGAGGAGGAGGAGGAGAAAAGCGGGAUCCUUGGC